UACGUAGGGUGCAAGCGUUAAUCGGAAUUACUGGGCGUAAAGCGUGCGCAGGCGGUUCGUUAUGUCCGAUGUGAAAGCCCCGAACUCAACUUGGGAAUGGCAUUGGAAACUGGCGGGCUGGAGUGUGGCAGAGGGGGGGUGGAAUUCCACGUGUAGCAGUGAAAUGCGUAGAGAUGUGGAGGAACACCGAUGGCGAAGGCAGCCCCCUGGGCUAACACUGACGCUCAGGCACGAAAGCGUGGGGAGCAAACAGG
rnacentral:rRNA from 1 species